rnacentral:tRNA from 1 species
CAGGGAGACAACAAAAUGUUAAAUAUUAAUUUUGUCACCUUAGGUCGAUCGGUAUCUCACAUUCUUAAAUUAAUUUAAGAAUUUUAUUUCCUAAGUUUUUUCUAGGUCACACCCAUUACUUUUUCCUGGGCCAUUAGCUCAGGUGGUUAGAGCGCACCCCUGAUAAGGGUGAGGUCCCUGGUUCAAGUCCAGGAUGGCCCAUAUCUCUAUGUUGGGGGUAUAGCUCAGUUGGUAGAGCGCCUGCUUUGCAAGCAGGAUGUCAGCGGUUCGAGUCCGCUUACCUCCACUGAUCACCACCUCUUCCAUAAUUUUUAGAAGGGAAUUGUUUUGAGUUGUGAUCAAAUUCUGAACGAAUCUAGCUUCCUAAUCAAACUUAUUAAGAUGCUGGACUCAUUGAAUUAAUUUCAUUGUUUUCAGAGAACCUUGACAACUGCAUAGAUUAUUUUUAAAGACAAUAAGCAUCUUUAAUGAUGCAGAUUUAUUAUUUGUGCGAAUGCAUUAAUAACAAUUCUAUUAAGCUGAUGCUUCAAUUUUUGAAGUUAUU